rnacentral:rRNA from 1 species
UACAGAGACCUCAAGCGUUAUCCGGAAUCAUUGGGCGUAAAGCGUACCGAUAGGUGGUUAAGAUAGUCAGAUGUGAAAUCUCCGAGCUCAACUCGGAAUCUGUCAUUUGAAACUUCUUGACUAAGAGGGGCAAAGAGGAAGCUGGAACGAACGGUGUAGUAGUAAAAUGCGUUGAUAUCGUUCGGAACACCGAUAGCGAAGGCAGGCUUCUGGGUGCCACCUGACACUGCUAGGACGAAAGCGUGGGGAGCGAAUGGG